rnacentral:rRNA from 1 species
GCAAUGCACGAAAGUGUGACGGGGCUACCCCGAGUGCCAUCCGCUGAGGGUGGCUUUUCAAAGGAAUAAUUAGCCAUUGGAAUAAGGAGAGGGCAAGACUGGUGUCAGCCGCCGCGGUAAUACCAGCUCUCCGAGUGGUAGGGAUGAUUAUUGGGCUUAAAGCGUCCGUAGCCGGCUUAGCAAGUCUCCUGUUAGAUUCAGCGACUUAAUCGUUGACCCGCGGGAGAUACUACUAGGCUAGGAGGCGGGAGAGGUCGACGGGACGCCUGGGGUAGGGGUGAAAUCCUAUAAUCCCGGGAGGACCACCAGUGGCGAAUGCUGUCGACUAGAACGCGCUCGACGGUGAGGGACGAAAGCUGGGGGACCGAACCGGAUUAGAUACCCGGGUAGUCCCAGCCGUAAACGGUGCGGGCUAGGUGUUGGGAUGGCUACGUGCCAUUUCAGUGCCGCAGGGAAGCCAUUAAGCCCGCCGCCUGGGGAGUACGGCCGCAAGGCUGAAUCUUAA